AUAUCUGGAUCUUGUUCAGUGAUGAUUUGAUUCACCUGAGCAAACAGCUCUCAAACAAAUACUCACUAUAAUUAUGUUCAUUGUCGUUUUAGCUGCAGGCCAGGAUGAGUUCGUUCAGUCGGUUAUGGGUAGAGUUGCAACACACAAGAAGGUUUCGUGAGGCGACACGCCUCGUGAGGUGUCAGCGGCUCCAGAAGAGGCGGAAUAGUUCUGUUGAACAGGAUUUUGGGUAAACGAGAAGUCCAGCUGGAUCACAAAGCCAGGAAUAUCUUUGCAAUAGCCGAUGCGAUUGAGAGCCGGACCCAGAGUGAGAUCGUAGAAAUCUACCGC